AGCUCCUAUUCUAUCUUUUGGGAGACACUGUCCCACCUACCACCUCUUCCCCAAAAUGAAAUUUGAUCAAUGGACCUUUGAUCUCAAUUGUCUCACCUCCUCUGACUUCUUCCUUCUGCCCCAAACCAGCUCUAGAACUGUCUUAUCUCUUCUGUUUCUCAGACACUCCCUAAUCUAUACUGAGUCUUUCCCCAUCACUCUUCCCUUUGUUUGGAAUCCGUUCCUUUGAAGUACACUUUCUUUCCUUCAAAGCGCUACUCAGAGAACCUUCUUCGGUCACUCAGUGCAAGUCUACUAAUCUUUGCCACGUUUUGUGUUUGCCUCACAGACUCAUCACCAACUGUAAUGGAUUUUCUACUUACAGCUUCUCUCCUGCAUGAUGCUGAAGAGCAGGUGCCUUGUCUGUCUUCUUUGUGCCUUGUGAGCACUUGCUGGGACAGAGUGGACACUUAACUGAGAUCUGUGGAUGAAUGAUAAAGCAGUAGUAUGGAUACUCUAGGAGCAUCUUGCUCAACAGUCUCUUUUGGAUCCUCAUAAAGUGGGUAUCCAAGUCCAUGGAAUGGAACGGCUCACAUUUAUGAUGGAUCUUCACCUCAAUCAGCCUAACCUAGAUGAUCCCCUACAGACAACUCAUUUCAAUGAACCUUUCUCACAGCUUUCCUUGGGAAGAGAGAUGUCCAGCAGCAGCAAGUUCAAGCUCAAAGGAAAUAAAAAGAUUUGGCCAUGCUACAGGCAUCUGUGAUAGAAGAC